GAUCAUUAGAAUAAAAUAUACCACACUUUUAGGCAUAAAUUCUUACUUUAUYUUUCAAUUUUGUUAAAAAAAACUUUCAACAACGGAUCUCUUGGUUCUCGCAUCGAUGAAGAACGCAGCGAAUUGCGAUACGUAAUAUGACUUGCAAACGUGAAUCAUUGAAUUUUUGAACGCACAUUGCGCUUUGGGGUAUUCCUCAAAGCAUGCGUUGGUGAGCGAUGUUUACUCUCAAACCUACGGUUUGGUUUUGGCCCCAAAUAUCAAAUGGCUCUAGAAUAUGUUUUAGACCAAUCCUCCUCCUCACCAU
rnacentral:misc_RNA from 1 species